rnacentral:lncRNA from 1 species
UGAAAUUUCCUGGAGCAUAAUAACCACUUUGGUCUUAGAAGUAGUUUUUAUUUUCAGUCUUCUUCCUCAGAUUUUCCUUGCAAAUAUUGUGCUUUCUCAGCAAAUCUGUUGUCUGCUUCUUGUCUUUGGAAAUCCUGGGGUUUUGUAGCGUGCAUUUUACUCUAAGGGCGUUGGACAUCCUGCAAGUAGAAUCAGCUCUAAACUUGUAUGAAUCCUAAUUCAUCUAUGAGAUCGACUUAAAUUCUCCAGAGUUUUCCAGGGUUGUUCUUUUGCCAAAGCUUCUCAUCUCUGAAUUUAAUUUCAAUUUAAUCAUAAGCUCGUUAUAUUUCUCAGUACGAAAUUAAGGGUCAGAUUAGCGCAGGGGAUCGUGGCCAGACUUUUGGAUGUUGCAUUAUCACCACUUUGAAUUUUUCCUUCGAUGGUCCACCAGAGAGAACAAAGAGAAAUCUGAACUCACAAUCACAUGUAGCAAGCAGAAGUCACAGCUCACACCCAUAAGAACAAGUUAAAG